UGGAUUAUAGUUAAAAAAUUAUAACAAUUAAUUUGCUAUUAAAAAUUAUUUUAUAUAAAAAAUUAAUCUAA
rnacentral:tRNA from 1 species